UUUUUGAAAAGACAUUUUUGCCCCUGUUUUCCUGCUGUCAUGUGUCCAUUUUGCAAACUUCUUCUCCUUCAUCUUACCCAUCAAUUUCAUUUUUUUUUUUUUUUUUUUUUUUUUUUGCAAACCUUAUCAUUAACAUCUCUAGAAACAACAAAAGGAUUGCAAAUUUUUCCACAAACUUAUCUCUUCUUUCUUAAAAGGAUUACAAGCUUCAAAGAAUAAAAGUUAACGAAACCUAUUUUCCUCCAUUAUCAUUUUUCUUCUAUAUUUUAUAUUCAAUAU
rnacentral:lncRNA from 1 species